rnacentral:lncRNA from 1 species
UGAGAAUAUAAUGAUAUUCAAUAUGAAAUAAAAAUCAAAUACACUAGAAUUGCAGCAUAAUCAUACCUUAGAGUUACUAUAAGAUUAAGUUGGAAUCGAGUUGAUCUUAUAGUAAUGAAUUUUCUUUUUUAAAGCUUUUUAGAGCAAAACCUAAUCAAUCCCAUAGCAUGAGGGACAAAACCUAUGUCAAUCCCAUAACAUAAGUGGCAUAUAAGGAAUAUCCUGUGCAUUUCUCUACAGAAAGGGAAAGGAAGCAGAACAGACUUUGUGCCUACCAGGUGUUGGGCCCAAGUUGUUGGGUCUUACUAUGACCUUUACAAGUAUUACCCUCAAGUUUUCCAACAAGUGGUCAUCAUUACCUUUCUAUAAGUGGGAAAAAUAGAUUUAAAGUAAGUGGCUACCCAGAGUCACACAGUAAAUAGCAAGCAAUCCAUGGAUCUAAACUGAAUUAUUUCUGCCUCCAGUGCUCUCAGUUAUGCUGUGGUGUUUUCUGGAUGAAAUACUAGGAUUUAAAUAUAUGCUUAGAGUUUUUGUGUCAAACCUUAAGUUGCUCUUGUACUUUGUUAAACUUGUACCAUCUGAAAUGAACACCUGUAUCCAUUCUCUUUCAGGUUUUGCUGUUACUGCUCAGUGUAGUCACACCUUGAAUAAGAAAUGGAAAACCUUGGGAUGUUGAUAAAGCUAAUAUCCUGAGGAAGAACUUCAGUGGGUCCCAGCUGAGUAGGAGAUGGGAUUCAACAGUACUGGUCUAAUGUGCUGGAGUGGCCCAGGCGGAGGCCCACUUGCAGAGACUAAUGGGAGCCUCAAGAGAAAAUCUACCAUAAGAAAAGGACCAGUCUGAUAGCAAGCCCAGCUUCCCAAGAAGAUAGAAGGUUGGAGGCAAGCUGCUGUCCAGAACUCGCACACAAAGCAGCAUGAGACAGAAGCUUUUGAAGGGGAGUGGAAUGGCUUUUACCGGCAGUGCAGUUUUCUUCUUGCACCAGUGUGGGCUGCAUCCAAUCAGUUGAAGGUCUUAAUAAAGGCUGACUCUACCCAAGAAAGAAGGAAUUCUGCCAGCACACUGCACUCAGACUCAAACUGCAGCAGGUCGGUGGAUCUCCCAACACUGUCAUGCCAGAGGUGCUCUAGGCCAUGCAGGGUCACCAUCCUGACAGCAGCCCACCCGGAAAUCUUCAGCAGAGGCGAAGACUUCCAGUCCUCUGUCAUUCUUUCAGUCCGUCACCUCCACUGAGACUGUGGUGGGCACUGGCCCUGUGCCAUUCGGCGGGUGCUUCCAGCCCCGGGCGCGGUUUGCUCCCAUUUCCAGGCAGCCCCACCUAUUCCUCCCCCAGGCCUGGGCAGAGGGCCUGAAGAAGGUUCACCCGGAGACUGUGCACCCACACGUCCCAGGCACUGGCGCGGAGCCACCUGUCUAUGCCGUGGAACCCUAUCAACGGUGACUUUUCCUGCCAGAAGGAGUGGCCAACAGGUGUCAAUCCCAAAGAGGUUGCGUCCAUCUUUCCCUGAAGCAUCCCCCACCUUCAUCAUCCCCCAAACGCAAUGGCAGCGCUUCCCUCUCGGUUUCUGCACCCUGAGCAUAGCUGCCAGGAUGGACUCAGUGAUCCCGGACCCAGCACGUGAGCAGCCGGUGCUGCCUCGCC